rnacentral:rRNA from 1 species
AUUGAACGCUAGCGGCAGGCCUAACACAUGCAAGUCGAACGAGUGGCGGACGGGUGAGUAAUGUCUGGGAAACUGCCCGAUGGAGGGGGAUGACUACUGGAAACGGUAGCUAAUACCGCAUACCAUCUGAUGUGCCCAGAUGGGAUUGGCUAGUAGGUGGGGUAAUGGCUCACCUAGGCGACGAUCCCUAGCUGGGCUGAUUGGAUGACAAGCCACACCGGAAGUGAGACACGGUCCAGACUCCGACGGUAGGCAGGAGUGGGGAAGAUUGCACAAUGGGAGCAAGCCUGAUGCAGCCAUGCCGCGUGUAGGAAGAAGGCCUUCGGGUUGUAAAGUACUUUCAGCGAGGAGGCGUUACUAGAAGAAGAAGUACCGGCUAACUCCGUGCCAGCAGCCGCGGUAAUAC